UACAGAGGGGGCAAGCGUUGUUCGGAAUUACUGGGCGUAAAGGGCGCGUAGGCGGCCUUCUAAGUCGAACGUGAAAUCCCCGGGCUCAACCCGGGAACUGCGUCCGAUACUGGAAGGCUUGAAUCCGGGAGAGGGAUGCGGAAUUCCAGGUGUAGCGGUGAAAUGCGUAGAGAUCAGGAAGAACAUCGGUGGCGAAGGCGCUCUGCUGGACCAUAACUGACACUCAGGGACGAAAGCUAGGGGAGCGAAUGGG
rnacentral:rRNA from 1 species